rnacentral:rRNA from 1 species
UACGUAGGGUGCAAGCGUUGUCCGGAAUUAUUGGGCGUAAAGAGUUCGUAGGCGGUUUGUCGCGUCCGUUGUGAAAGCUUGGGGCUCAACCCCAAGUCUGCAGUGGAUACGGGCAGACUAGAGUCAGGUAGGGGAGAACGGAAUUCCUGGUGUAGCGGUGAAAUGCGUAGAUAUUGGGAAGAACACCUGAGGCGAAGGCGGGUUGCUGGGCUGAUACUGACGCUGAGGCGCGAAAGCCAGGGGAGCAAACGGG